CUCUAUCUAUUCGAGAGAGCCAAUUCCUGCCGCCGUCGCCACACCUGGACCUCAUCCCCAGCUCCACCAGCGUCAAUCACGCAGCUCAAGCACCGAUCUGGAGCUUUUUCUCACUAAUCCACUGUAGAGUGCACAAGCGACCCUAAAGAUACGCUGUUUUAGUCUUUAUCUUUUGUUUUUUCUGUCUUUGUCGGAUUCUCGCUUUCUCUCACUGAUAUGAGCCAUUCUCUGAUUUUGAGUUUUGCAUUCUUGGACAAUGUGUGUGUGUUUUACUUUCUUUACAAUAUUGUAGUGAAAUCAAUAGAUCCUGCAUUUGUUUCAAAAAAAUUUGCUUCCACUUCUACUUUUACUUUAUUUGACUUGAAGGGCAGCUUUUACUACCACUACUGGUUAUUUUUAAUUUUGAUGUGUUAAUAAAAUUAGUUAUCCCCAAAACUAAAGAAAAAUAUUCACUUAGCAGAUUUUCAUACGAAUAUAUUCGUUGCUAAGGAAACUAGGAAAUGUUAUAGUGCUAUGAUAAUGAUGAAUGUUAGAGUUCAUUUCACAUGCCCUAAAAAUUAUCUAAAAAUAAAAUGCUUCACCCAAAUUACUUUAUUUUUUUCCUUCCAUUUUUACAAAACAAAUCUUUAUACUACAAACCGUUUCACUAGCACUAUUCAUCUUCUCUUUUUCUUGCUCGAACCUCCAUUGCUGCCACUCUUGCACCUGCGAAACUUACAUUUUCAACAUCUCCUUCGUGGUCUCAGACCUACAUCCUUUCUUCUUCAAUCUGUAAGUAACUUAAUCCCUUUUUGCUUUCCGUUUGAAUAGUUUACAUGUACUAUAUGCGUUUUCCUACAACACUUUUUGAAAAUAGUUUUUAUCUGAAACGAGUAAGAACAACUUGAAUGAUACCCAUCACUACUAAUUUUGCAAGAAAACUGAACUGUGACGUCUUAGAUCUGAAAUCAUACUCCAACCGGACUAGGAAGUAGUUUGUAAUAGGUGCAAGCCUUAGCAAAACUGAACAACCGAGCUAAGAUUUCAUGAAUACUUGUUGUUUCAAGUAGGUCUAAGAACCUUUUGCUUUACUUAGCCGAGCUAGCGAAUUAGAUUAGGUUUGCACAAUGCCGCACUAGAAAGCCUCAACCAUCAAUCGAGCUAAAUCUUGGGGCUAAACCAGCUCCCUUAGUUCACACCGAACUAAGAUUGUUGCCCCAAUGGCUCGACCGGGCUAAAGCCCUUUGCUUAAACCGAGCUAAGAUCAUGUAAACCGAGCUAGGACUUCUUUAACCGAGCUAGGACUUCAUUUAUCUUGCCUAUAUUUCUUGUAGCACGGUCCCAUGAUCUGUGCUUAACACCGUUCUUUUUUACUUUGCAGACUCUGACUAGGUUGCCCAGUUACCCCUUUGCACGUCCAGCCAAGAUAUCCAUUAUCUUCUUGGCGCCGAGCUAAUACUCCAGGUUAACUUAUACAUAAUUUAAACCCUUUAUGGGGAAAUAUAGGUUUUUGGUGAACUCACCAGGUGCUAUGGCCAAGUUUCGAAGGGAUUACCAUAUCCCUGAUGAUGUUCAUCUCACUCUAGCCGAACUAGAUACCGUACCCUGGGGAAACCCUGGCUUUGUUCCCUUUACACUUCUUUCCAUUAUAGAAACCGGACUAAGAUUCCCUGUACAACCCCUCCUUUGCGAGUUCCUCAAACAAACCAAUCUCUGCCCAACCCAACUUUUCACAAAUUCAUACUGCAUAAUAAAUGGCAUCGUCGAGCUAAAUCGCUGGGCUGGCCUUAACCUCGGUUUAGCCGAGCUCUUUCUCCAAUACUCCAUAGGAUCAAAUGAAGAUGGGUGGGUUUACUAUUUAAGAAUAAGGCACCGUCGUGAAAAGAUAAUAAAAGAUACCCCGGAUAAGGAUGUUAAUGACGAUGAUUUUUUUUGAGUUUCUGGGAAUUUUGAAGAUCGUGAGGCCCAAAUCCCAGGCGACCGAAUAAACUAGGACAAAGGAGUUACCGAUUUGAACUUUCUCAAGUCCCAGUACAGUUAUCCCAACUUAAACACACUUCGCGCCGCGCUGCGAUAUCCCAAUAGAAGUUGGGUCGAGCUACUGGAAUUUGAACCGACGUAUAGACACAGUAGUAAACGGAAGACCAAGGUGACUGAUUUUGUUGGAAGCCUCUCCUGAACUGGACCCAUCCUUGCCUGAAAUCAACCUAAUCCGACUAAUUGCUAAACAAGAAAUGGCCAAGAAGAGAGCCGUAAGAGCCCUUUAGACCGAAACAAACCAGCUUGAGGUACCACCGACCGGCCAAACACAAGAGGCCGUGGUAGCCCUGCCAACCCAUCAGCCUUCAAUAUCUCGGGCAAGUAAGCGUGCUCGGAUUUCUACACCCGAGCCACGCCUUAUCGAUGAGGAUGAAACCGUGCUUCCUCCAACCGCAGUUCCAAGCCCGCAACCUGAGAGCUCGGACCGAGCUAACUCUUCUGAUUGGGCACCGAAAUUAUCGUACCAGAAUUGAGCCAUCCGAGACACAGAUUCAGUGGUGGCAGACAAAGAUUACAUGCUGGCCUUCAAUCUGGCUAAGAGCGUGUGUUUGCCCCCUGAUAUGGAUCAUCAUGCCCACUUAACCGAGCUAAAAGCUAUUCGUUCGACCACUAAAUCAAUGGUGCUAGCCAUGCAGAAGAACCAGAUUGCUCAUAAGCGUGUGCUAGAGCUAUGCAAAACAACAAGGCAAGCCUUGGCAGAGGCUAAACAGAAGACGACCAAGCUAAACGAAGCCAAACAGAAAAUGGCCGAGCUUGAAUCUGAAGUCGUACGCCUCACCGGUGUAGUUAACAUAGCCGAAGUGGAGAAGCAAAAAGCUUUGAUCGAGCUGAAAGACUACACCUACGUGAGCUUGCCAGCAUUGAAGAGAAGAAGACGACCGAGAUAACUGACCUUGAGAAGAAGAUUGGUGAUGCAGAAGACCGUGGCUUCAAAGAAGGUGAAGCAACCUACAUUCUGCAGUGCAAAGCCGCCAAGGAUCUAUUUUUUAAGUGCGAGUGGAAGGCAGCAGUGGAACAGCUCGGUCAUGGUCCAGAGACUGAGGUUUUCCUGAACCCUCCAUCGUACUUCAUACCGAGCUGUAUGGCGGAGUAUGCAGCCGCCAUUCAACAAAAAUUCCUUGAAUCUGAGGAUGAUGAUGAAGAGGCAGUGCCUAAUAAUGCCCCGGUCGUUGAUGAUUCUGCCAUCCAGCCAGUUCGGGUGGAGCCACCGAUUGAAGACUUGACAACCGAGCUACCGGCUGAAACCGGGCUCCGAGUUGAACUGGAUGCGGAUCUUGAUGACCUGUUUUCUUGACUUUGUACUUUCUUCUUUGUUUUGCUAUUUUGGAAAGAAGUUGUAACCGGGCUGAGGCCCUCCUUUUGUACUUGAUUUGAAUCUUUAAUGAAAUCUUCUUUUGUUGGAA